GAGAGAGAGAGAGGCUGAUGCAAUGUGGGUGAAGUUCAUGGAUAUCUAGACUUGGAGGAAGGUACUUUGGAUGGAAAGAAGCAAUCAGAGCUAAGAGAUGAAAAGGAAAUAGAAGAGACAGGGUUUGUAGUUGGAUGAGGGUGGAGUUUUGAAGACUUGGGCACUUGGGUUAGAGGUUGGAAGAAGACUGGCAGGGAGGGUAGACAUUUGUGUUCCCUGUGGACAAGUUUGAAGUUCCAAUGAGACAGGAGUGUGUGUGGGGUGCAGAUGUCAAACUUGGCUUCUGGAGAUCAUGAUUGUCCCAUGAUGCCUUGCUAAUUUUCUUCUGUACAGACUCAGAAACCCAGAGAGAAUGAAAUGAAUCUUACAGGUCCAUUCCUUUCCUUCUCCUCCCACUCCCCCCCUUUUUAUGUUUUAGAUGAGAAACAAAGCAGAGAAAAGUCUUUUGUGAGGUCAUAAAGUAAGGGAACAUUGAGGUAAAAAUUGGAACUCAGGGCUUUCCAAAAGAACCUUUCCUUACCAUGUACGGUGCCCCGGAUCAGAGGGCAAACAGGGAAACAUCAUAAAUAGUUGCCAUCAUUUAAGAAAAAUCUGAGCAUUUUAAUUCUUUCAACUCUCUCUCCCUCCACAAGUCUCUGUCUCUGUCUCUGUCUCUGUCUCUCUCUCUCUCUCUCUCUCUCUCCAUCCAUCUAUCAUCUGUCUGUCUAUCUAUCUAUCUAUCUAUCUAUCUAUCUAUCUAUCUAUCUAUCUAGUGACAGGGUCUUUCGUAUUCCAGGUUGGCUUUGAGUCACUAUUAGCCAAGGAUGGCCUUGGGUGUCCCAGCUUCCUGCCUCCACUCCUAGUUCUGGAAUUUACAGCACACACCACCAUGCUUGUUUAUACGAUGCUGAAGAUUGAACCUAGGACUUUGUGGAUAGCUGGCAAAAAGUUCCUGUCUGCUGUGACAUAUCUAACCCGUCUUACCUACCUCAGCUUGCUCCAUUUCCCUGGCAUCUGCCAACAUUCGACUUGGGACUUUUAGACUUCCUCUCAGGACUACAUCUUCUGCAAAGUGUAAUGUUCGAAUGUGGUGGUUCCAAGGGACUAUUUGGCUGUUGGCUCCAAGGUUCUCCAUGCCUGCCCUUCAGAAAUGAAGGUGCCAGAUCCCAUGGGACUGGAGCUGCCGAGGGUUGUGAAUCAUUACGUGGUGCUGGGAGCCAAGCCAGGGUCCUCAGGAAGAACAGGCAGUGCCGGCAUGUUUCGUUGAGCCUUCUGGGGAACCACCUCGAGGGUCUGCCACUGUUGCUGCCGCCCAACUGUAGCAAUGAGGAAGUGAAUGCCAGGGUUGGUGCAGCUGUUAACUGCACAGGAUGUAACUGGACGGAGCUGCUAGAAAGACCCUGAAACUAGUACAACAGUAACCAGUAAAUUCUAAAGCAAGCCACAGAUAAAGGAGACCAGUACUGCAGUCUACUUCAGUCCCUCCUCCUCCCCGUCUUCACACCUUGUGGAUCCAUGUUGAAGAAAUGGGUUGAUGCUCCUGGUGUAUCAGCUGCAUUGUGCUCCACUGACUUUCUUUUGGCCUCACUCCUUUAAUAACUUCUUGGCAUUUCUCCCAUACUAUUGAGUGGAUUGCUGUUGAUACGCAGGAACAUUGCUGUCAAUGAAUCCAUUUCAUUCCGAAGAGUGACUGUUUUCCUGAACAAUAGUUCAGUUUUUCUUGAUCUGAGUAGAGAGCUGAUGGAUGUUGAACUUGUUGGAUGCAAGACAGGUGAACACACAGGCGUUCUCUUGUUUCUUGAAUUCGAGGAUAUUAAGUA